rnacentral:rRNA from 1 species
AACGGAGGCGCUCAAAGGUUCUCUCAGCACGGUCGGAAAUCGUGCGUAGAGUGUAAAGGCAGAAGAGAGCUUGAUUGCAAGACAUACAGGUCGAGCAAGGACGAAAGUCGGACUUAGUGAUCCGGUGGUUCCGCAUGGAAGGGCCAUCGCUCAACGGAUAAAAGCUACCCUGGGGAUAACAGGCUUAUCUCCCCCAAGAGUCCACAUCGACGGGGAGGUUUGGCACCUCGAUGUCGGCUCAUCACAUCCUGGGGCUGUAGUAGGUCCCAAGGGUUGGGCUGUUCGCCCAUUAAAGUGGUACGCGAGCUGGGUUCAGAACGUCGUGAGACAGUUCGGUCCCUAUCCGUCGCAGGCGUAGGAAAUUUGAGGAGACCUGUCCUUAGUACGAGAGGACCGGGAUGGACGUACCUCUGGUGUACCAGUUGUUCUGCCAAGGGCAUGGCUGGGUAGCUAUGUACGGAAUGGAUAAGCGCUGAAAGCAUCUAAGCGCGAAGCCAACUUCAAGAUAAGAUUUCCCACCGUAAGGGUAAGAUCCCAGGAAGACUACCUGGUUGAUAGGUCGGAGGUGUAAGUGCAGCAAUGUAUGUAGCUUACCGAUACUAAUAGAUCGAGGACUUGACCAAG